AGGACCAGUAGGUACGUUUUCUCGUCUCUGAUUAGUACAAGAACCAGUGUUGGCACCAAGACUUCAGAGGUUGACCCAUAGUACAGUAACAGUAACAUAUUGCAAUAUUGCAACGUCCCAGACUCAACUAUAACUUGGACUCUGUCAACAACUAAUGUGAAUCACAGAAAAUUGAAACAGAUCCUUUUACGAGCCAACACUAGCAUUAAGUGGGUCAUUGAUAGGUGAGACUGGUUUAGAGUACGGAACUGAGGUGGAUAAAAAUGCUACUAAAUCAGUGUAAAAAGGACAGACUGUAAUCAAGGUAAAAAAAUGGGUUGGGAAGUCGGCUGCCAUGCCAUAGGAAAGUCAUGCAGUCAAUAUUGCUUUUGGAGAUGAAGCCCGUGUGCUCUCAGCUUGGUGAAGAGAGAGCUUGGGAGUUGGGAUCCUGAUUACACAUUGUCCAAUUUCAUGUAAGCAUUUUGAAUUCAGUUCCGAUUGCCUACCUUAAACAGCACCGUGAGUGUUCUAUUACUUUUACAAAUUUCUGUUGGGUUCAGCACAAGGUCCUGUUGUUAUGUAUUUCAUUACCUAUUUGACUUCCUACGUAAUAAUUAAACCAAAAAAAUAAAACAGUGAACAGAUGCAAAAUUUACACAUUUGUCUUUCUCUUUGCCCAUAUAUUGCCUAAAUUUGUACAAAUAUUCAAGAACAUGAAUUAUUUUAAGCUGGGGCUUUUUUGAGUUACAAUUUAGUAAGGAGUUCUUAUAGAUUGUGUCUUCUGUUUCUCCUCCCCAUUUUUAAUCAAAGGAGAGCACUAAGGCUUAUGAACAGAGCAAAAUGUUAUUUACCUUCUUUUGUAUCUCUGAUGGAAGUACAUGGGUAGCCUUAUUGAGUGUCUGAUUAUCAUAUGUUUAUUCACUCUUCUUAAUUAUCCUUUCUAUUCAUAAAUGGAUUCUCGAUGUCUGUAAAGAUGACCUGGAAUCUUCUUGUUUUUUCAUUUUUAUUUCCAGAUGCAGAUUGCUGAAGGAUGUCAAUCUUUUCUGCCCGAGACAUGAUAACAUUCUUCAAAUAUCCUUUUUAAUGUAUUAUACAAGUUAUUUAAUGAAUUAUUUAUGCUUUUCCUUUUUAAGCUAUGUUACAUGAAUGUCAGAAUUCCAUGCUUAAAAUAAGAAAAUUAAGGAAAACAGAAUAUUCAGAUUAUAUAAUUGCUUGUUGGUUCUUCUUAAUUAAUUGGCAAAAUAAGAAAAAUAAGUUUUCUCUGGGUGACAAUCUACAAGAGAUAGCAGGAUUCUGCUGAAGGAAAUUAACAUUCUAUUAAUUUGCUAGCUUAUGGAUUUAGAUUUUUCCAGCUUGAGUUGAGGCCAACAUACCUUUGAGCACUCACCAGGCUGCCUAUUUGUUUAUACUUUUCUGCACAGUUGAGAACUAUUCUGUAUUGUUGUCAUGCAAAAAAAUUCAAAAAUGAAGGAGGAAGUUUAAUCUUUAUAUCAUUUUCUGUAGUUCUCGAGUGUGUGGUUUUUUUUUAAAAAACUAUUAUGUCCUUUGAUGAUUUGACAGCAUUUCCCUGAUCUUAGUCCUUAACGUUAGAUCCAAUAUCCAGGUCUUGGUGGAUCAGCAAUCCCUCAUUUCUCCGGUGAACUUGGAGGAUGCAGAUUUAAGAGUCAAAAGGUAAAUCUUGGUGUUUAGAUUGCAUGAAUACCUUCUCAUAGUUCUUGGAUCAAUAAUCUUAUCAAAGAACUCUUCAAAAAAAAAAAUCUCAUCAAAGAAAUUCCCUCAUCAUUUUAGGAAUAAAAAGGGUAAUUGGGUAAGCCUAAUGCACGAGGCUAGGGUCAAAUAUUUCACAACUUUAUUCCGGUGAAUAGAGUGGUUGUUUCUGUAAGAUUGAAUUCAGUUCAGAGGGAGAUGUUAGGGCACAUAAUCAGCCAAGACUGGUUAUCAGCCAAAUACAUAAAUUUUAUAUGCAUACAACGUGGUGUUGUAUUUGGACCCCUUCAUAUUCAUGAGAAAGUCCAAUUUCUCCUUGUCUUAUUCUGUAUGAUGGCAUCCAGUUAAUGCUUUUCCGAAAUACUCAUGGUUUAGCUGGUUCUUCAUAUAUGGAGCUGCCAGUGCCAGCCUUUUGUUGAUUCAUUCUUUAUCAAGCUGUUUGUGAAAUGGUAUUCUGUCUCGUGAUAUAUUGGUUGCUCUGGGUUAUGGUCUAAAUCCCUUUUUUUUUCUAACUCUAUGGUGCUCACUUGUGGUUGUGCACUGCUACGAAUAUCCAAAUGUGGAGGGAGGCCAACCUCUGCACAUUUAGCUGAACAAAGGUGUAACAGCAUAGUGAUGUUUCUUGUUCUGUUCUGCUCGUCCUUCCUUUUGGUUUAACUUAAUUCUCCUUGCUGAAAAGUGAUCAUUCCCGUCUUUCACCUUGAACUGAAUACUUCUCUUAGUUCAAAACCGUAACUAUGCUUAUUCCUUGUAACAACUGAGUUGUUUUACAAUCUGGAUUAAUCUUUCAGGUUCCAUCUGUAAAGGGCAUGACAGCAUAACUUAUAAUUUUACAUCCUCAAUUAAUC
rnacentral:lncRNA from 1 species